UGAGCUCUCCCUCCUCACCUCUGGCUUGUUCUUCUCCUCACCGUCGGUAAUUAGAGUAGCCAAAAGGCAACUGAGAGAUGUUUAAAGGAAUGAAUUUUCAUCCUGCGAGCUUUUCAGAUUUGUUAACUGGCGUUGAUCCUACUGUUGACAUUUAAAAGGGCAAAAAUUGAUCUGGGUGGUGGCAUUUCACUUAGCAUUAUCUCCUUUUGACAUAAACAUUUGAACUGAUGUAUUUUAUUUUGAAAGUAAGGUUAGUUAGCUCCACAUAGCCUAUAGCUAAAUUUCUAUUGUGGUAUAUAUCGUUUGCUGGUUGGAAGGAGUUGA